UCCCUGGUAGCUCAGACGGUAAAGCAUCUGCCUGCAAUGCAGGAGACCCAGGUUCGAUCCCCAGGUUGGGAA
rnacentral:tRNA from 1 species